rnacentral:misc_RNA from 1 species
UCUCCGUAGGUGAACCUGCGGAGGGAUCAUUACUGAGUGAGGGUCUCCGGGCCCGACCUCCAACCCUUUUGUGAACCACCUCGUUGCUUCGGGGGCGACCCUGCCGUUCGCGGCGUGGGGCCCCCGGAGGCCAUUAAACACUGCAUCAUUGCGUCGGAGUUAAAGUAAAUUAAACAAAACUUUCAACAACGGAUCUCUUGGUUCCAGCAUCGAUGAAGAACGCAGC